rnacentral:rRNA from 1 species
UACGUAGGGUGCGAGCGUUAAUCGGAAUUACUGGGCGUAAAGCGUGCGCAGGCGGUUCGACAAGUCCGAUGUGAAAGCCCCGGGCUCAACCUGGGAAUGGCAUUGGAAACUGGCGAGCUUGAGUGUGGCAGAGGGGGGUGGAAUUCCGCGUGUAGCAGUGAAAUGCGCAGAUAUCAGGAAGAACACCCGUGGCUAAGGCGGCUCUCUAGUACGGUACUGACGCUGAGACGCGAAAGCGUGGGGAGCGAACAGG